UUUUGGAAAAAAUGAUAUUAUUUGUCUGGCCUUUCUCACGUAUAAGAGUGGCCUCCCUUGAAGCCAGGUGCUCGUUGCCAGGCAAUAUUAUAGGUGGCGCCGCUGUCAACAUGUGCAUGUGAAAACGAAAGUAGAUUGUUUAUCUAGGAAUUAUUACAACAUUUUACCCUUCUACGUUGAAUUUUUAAGAUAUAAAAGUAUGAAUAUUUAGAUGACUAUUUAGAUCUAGUUACCUUCAACUGGUCAGUGGCCAAAAGGGAGUAUUUCUGUGUGUCUUGAAGCAUUGAAUGCCCCAAAACAACCAGUAUGAUAAGAAGACCAGAGUAUACAGCUUCCCAAAAUGUUGAAAGACUAAGCUGAAUUUCUAUGGACUUGUAUACUAUCUAGGUUGAAAACAGCCACAGACAUUGGAGGUGCAUGCUGGAGCAUCAGACAUUACAUACUUGGAAUAAAUAAUUGCACAAUACACAUUUACUGAGGAGUGACUAAUGUUUAUGUUAAAGUGCAAUAUCUAUAUUUGUAACAUUUACUUGGGGGUAAUACAGUGUUGAAACAGACUACCAGUGUUACAUUUCAAUCUAAGUUACAGUGUGGAUGCUAAUUCUAAAUUCUUGAUAAUCAAGUGUUUUUAAUAACUUAUGAAUACUAAUUAUUUAUCAAACUGUUUAAUUUAUCACAUUCCUACAUCAUUAUUUUAUAUAAAAUGCUUGUAGUUAUAUAAUAUAUGUCAGGUAAAAUGGUAAUAAAUUUUGUUUCUGUGUAAAUAUCUUGCUUUUUUAAAAAUGAAAAUGAUACAUUCAGUGGCCAUCAUCUGUCAAAAAGUUAUUAUAAAUGCCUCAAAACUGAUGAAAAGUUAACUUUUCACAAGUUCAUGGAAUAGCAUACUAUCCAUAACAUUGUAUAGUUUUCCUAACCUGUAUCUGGGGUCAUCAUAAAUUAAUUGCUAGAGUAAAUUUUCUUCACAAGGGAAAGGAAGUUUUUUUAUUAAUUUAUUUUUUAUUUCAGAUAUUUUAUUUUUGCUUUAAUGAGGAUUUAAAGAGAAAAACUGACAUAAUUAUAAUAGUUAUUUUUGUCAGAUGGAUUUGAUUAUAAGCAAUAAUAACUGAAAGUUAAUAAUUUAUAACAUUCUUUAUAGAAAUAUUCCAUAGAUGAUCUUGCAAACUAAAAAUAGUAAGGGGAGGCAUAAAUAUAAUGGGAGUGGAUGAUAAUCUAACAAUUAAUACAGUAUGGCCUUACAAAUAUAAAUCAAUAAAUACUUACUGGUAAUAAUAUUGAUUAGGUAUGUUGUAGCUAUAUGAUAAAUAUAUAUUUUUGAAUGGUGAUUUGUUAUGAGAAAAAAAGCUGAU
rnacentral:lncRNA from 1 species